UCCAACCGUCCAACGUUUUCCCCCAAAAUUUGUCAUUCCCUCUCUAAAUUUGCCGUCUUACACGCUCCUUUGCCUCAAAAAAUUUUCCCCAAAAUUCAUUCCCUCCCUUUGUUUCAUCUUUUUAAUUGGCCCAAACCUAGUUCAAAUUCUUCGGUUGAUGCGAAUUUCGACUUCAUCUACAGAUAUAUGUGAUAUUCUUCAAUCUGUCUUCCAAGUAUGCCCAUUCCAAGAUUAUAUCAAAUAUUAAAGUUUGUAGUUUAUUCCAUUUAUAUAUGUCAUCGUCCAUCGGUUUAGCAAUUAAAUUCCUCCUCCUCUUGCUAUUUGCGUUCAAUAUGGAUUUUGACAAAGGGGUUUUCCAUGGAAUUUUUAUGUGAUCUGUUGUUGGAUGAAAACCAACCAAUUUCAACAUCUUCAUUACCGGUGGCGACAGUGCUAAGUCCAAGCUUCUGAGGACCAAGUUCUUGUGGCCCAUAAGAUCCAAUGCCAUGGCCUUGAGGAUGUGCUCUGCGGGAUCUUUCGACUCGAGGGCCAAGGCCUUGUCGGCCUCGUUGGCGGCGGAUUUAGUGAGGUUGAAGGCGGUGGAUUUGUUUUUGGACUAUCGGGCUCGUGAUAGGAACUGAGCUCCCUGAAUGAAGUGGCGGUGGAUUUGGGUGUUAGGGUGGGCCUUAGAGCAGAGCUUGGUUAGGGCACGUUUGGGGAGGCUGUGCAGGGCGUAGACGAUGCCUAGGGUGAAAAAGAUAAUGCCCAGUUGGAGUAAGGCAUCUGUCCCCAUUUUUUGAGAGGAAUUUCAGGGUUUCACAAAUGUGAUGCAACUUUGAAAGAGUUAGGAUCAGAUCCAUUAUAUGGCCGUCUAAAGGAUGAGAUGGGGACUGAGGCAUCCAAACUUUAAAAUGCAUAUUAUUGAAUGAUUUCAUAUCUAUACAAGACUCGAUAUUUUUCACCAUGUCAACUACCUUCCAAUGUAUGCAGUAUAGAGAAAGAGUUAGAAGUAGAACGUGCUACUCGAAAGUUAGAAUAUGCAGUUCGAGUGAAGAUGGAGCAAAUGAUACAAAAUAAGCUGAAGGUAGUUGAGCAACAAUUCAAUAAUACGUUGUGAGAACGUGCAGCAUAUCUAUUUCAUGAGGGUGAAGGGUUAUAUUUUUUUUAGAUGCGUAAUAAUAGAUAUAGAUCAUUUUUUCUACUAUUUUUAAGUUUAGAUGUAACCAUGCUAAGUGAAUAUUUUUUAUUUGAGUUUUGGUGUAACAUUUUGGAUUCAAGGUUACAUUGAUUGACACUA